rnacentral:lncRNA from 1 species
CUGUAACGGGUAUAAUACUUAUUUUAUUUAAUAACAGAUGUUAAGAUUGUUUGGAAAAUAUCGGAGACUCUCUAAGCUUGAAACCAAAAUAUAGUCUGAAGGAGUGAACGAUUUCAUUUCUGUAAAACAAAAUAGAGGACGAAUGUUUAACAUAUCCAAACGGAUUAUACACACGAAAUGGCGAAAAUUGGGAGUUUGGAUUGUGUUUGUUGGUGUAUUAGAACAUUUUUCCAGCGUGAAGCGAUCCGUUAUAACCAAGUUUCUGGUGGAAAAGUAAUUCUGUUGGAGAGUCGAGAAUUCGUCAUUUACGAUUAAGAAGAUGCACUGGCUAAUGGGGGCUAGAUUUACGCCUAAGUUAGAGAAACAACAGCUUAAAGAGCCGGGAAGUUGACCAAAAACAUAUUAAAUGCAUUGGAGGAGGUCCGUUAAAUGUUGCGCCUUUGGAGUCGCCAUACACACCAGUCCAAUCCUGUCGUUAAUACUACACAGAAUUCGAAAUGUCCGGCGUGUAUGGGAUUCCAGUACUAAGGAAUUUUACCAUAUCAUGGUGGGGAAACCGAUACUUCAAAGCGAUUUUUUAAAAAAUCGAUAUCGAUAUAUGCAUCGAUAAAUUUGUAUUUCGUACAAUACCGUGUUUCACAAAAAUUAGGACAUCGAUAGUCUAUCGGUGUGGACCGUAAACUAUAAUAGGGAGUUUUCGCACAGCUACGACUCAGCUCCGAACCAUAAAGUCCACAAUCUGCGCAUGCGCGAGGUGUGAGUCGUACCGUUGACCGAUAAAAAAGUUUUUUAUGGUGAUGUUUUGGAGACCAGCAGAUUAAUAUAACAGAUGAUCUUUAUUAAAGAUAAUAGAGAAGGCUGUCCAACCCACGGCCCAACAUAAAAUCGUAAAUUUCCUUAAAACAU